CUACGGGCGGCUGCAGUGAGGAAUAUUGCACAAUGGGGGGAACCCUGAUGCAGCAACGCCGCGUGGAGGAUGACGCAUUUCGGUGUGUAAACUCCUUUUAUAUGUCAAGAAAAUGACGGUAGCAUAUGAAUAAGCACCGGCUAACUCCGUGCCAGCAGCCGCGGUAAUACGGAGGGUGCAAGCGUUACUCGGAAUCACUGGGCGUAAAGGACGCGUAGGCGGGCUUGUAAGUCAGGUGUGAAAUCCUACAGCUUAACUGUAGAACUGCACUUGAAACUACGAGCCUAGAGUAUGGGAGGGGCAGAUGGAAUUAGUGGUGUAGGGGUAAAAUCCGUAGAUAUCACUAGGAAUACCUAAAGCGAAGGCGAUCUGCUGGAACAUAGCUGACGCUAAGGCGUGAAAGCGUGGGGAGCAAACAGGAUUAGAUACCCGCGUAGUC
rnacentral:rRNA from 1 species